rnacentral:snoRNA from 1 species
AAGACUAUACUUUCAGGGAUCAUUUCUUUAGUUCUUGACUUGAGAGAUGUGUUUCUAAAGAGUUUGGUCUCGCUGCCCACGAUGAUGAGUUAAUAUGUUUCUCUCAGAGCAGGAAUCUAGUGGGAAGACUUUGUUUCUUCUUUACUGUUGAUGACUGUUCAGUGUUUCUGAAAGAGACACUGAUGGAGGAAACAUGUUCUGAGUGUA